AUUGAACGCUGGCGGCAGGCUUAACACAUGCAAGUCGAGCGGAGAUGAGGUGCUUGCACCUUAUCUUAGCGGCGGACGGGUGAGUAAUGCUUAGGAAUCUGCCUAUUAGUGGGGGACAACAUUCCGAAAGGAAUGCUAAUACCGCAUACGUCCUACGGGAGAAAGCAGGGGAUCUUCGGACCUUGCGCUAAUAGAUGAGCCUAAGUCGGAUUAGCUAGUUGGUGGGGUAAAGGCCUACCAAGGCGACGAUCUGUAGCGGGUCUGAGAGGAUGAUCCGCCAAACUGGGACUGCGACACGGCCCAGACUCCUACGGGAGGCAGCAGUGGGGAAUAUUGGACAAUGGGGGGAACCCUGAUCCAGCCAUGCCGCGUGUGUGAAGAAGGCCUUAUGGUUGUAAAGCACUUUAAGCGAGGAGGAGGCUACUGAGACUAAUACUCUUGGAUAGUGGACGUUACUCGCAGAAUAAGCACCGGCUAACUCUGUGCCAGCAGCCGCCGUAACAC
rnacentral:rRNA from 1 species